CUCCUACAACUAAAAAGACCAAAACGUGGACAAACUUUUCGUGCGACAUUCUUCUCUCGCGGUUUCGUCCUGCCCCUGCGACGCGCAUCCCGCCCGGCUCUCUCUUCCGCUCGGAGCCCCGCUCCCAAAUCCGCCUCUCCUCGCCGCCCCCUCCGUCCCUCCCAGAUCCGCGUCGACGCAGAGCCCCCCCUCCCAGAUACUCCUCGGCCCUCCCGUAUCCUGCUCGGAGCCCCGCUCCCAAAUCCUCCUCGGCGCCCCCUCCCAGAUCCUCGUCGACGCUCCCCUCCCAGAUCCUCCUCGGCGCCGCCUCACCAACCCACGUUCGCCCGCAGAAGCCACCGCCGUCACGUCGUCUCUCCCCUCUGCAAUCUCCUCUGCUCGCCCUCACCCUCACAGUGGUACCGCUCGCCCUCGCAUUCGUUGUUAUCGUCUCCAUUGCACACGCUGGUGGUGGCGUCGCACUCGGCCCUCGCCCACACCCUAACCAUAACCACGCUGCUGCGGCGGGCAUCGUGAGCCGUGGCAGGGACGGGGCAAAGCGGCGUUUGAAGUGUCGGACCCAAGAUCUACGCGUCUCAAGUUGAAGUGAUGCGGCGGAUGCAGCGUCUUAGGGCAUCAUCGAUAGGGUGGUGCUAGAGGCAUCGUAUACCCGCCGGCGGCGGCCAACACCCACCAGGUAUUCGUACCCCUUCUCUCCCCUUCCUGUUUUCUGAAACCGAGCACAUGGAUAUUAUUUUUCUACUAUGAAUCGCUAGCUGCAGCUAGCAUCAGUCAAGGCAAUUGCUUGAAGUGUAUAAAAGUGUUUUUUCUGCAGUCGAUUAUAUUGAUGGUCUUAUUUUCUAUAGUUGUAAAUCCUACAAAUUAGCUAGACACAAACUUGUGUAUGAGGAAGUCGCAGAGCCUGUGCUUGAGGCAAGUCUUGCAUUCCAGAUGACACUAAUUAAUUUUGGUGUUUACCUAUGUCUGGUAAGUCUGUAGAAAUUGUGGUGUUGUAUCCGAUCUGUCCAAUUCUAAAAGUAAGAAGAAAGUUGAGGGAUCUUUGCUUCAAUUGCUUAGGGCACAUCAGGGGUUUCAAUGACUGAGUGUUUUUUUUCUGCAGUCCAUUUUGCUGAUGGUCUUUUUUUCUGUAGUUCAAGAGGCUGAACCUGAAGAAAAAUUAUUGGAGAUAAUUUACAUCAGUGUCAGCACCCAAACCGGAACUUCUUACCAUCCAUAUCAACUGUUAGGAGGGCCUGGAGUGUUGGCCUGACCAUACUACCAGAGAGCUGGAACAUCGCCACCAAGGUCCACUACCACGCCGCCAUCGAGGACCAAUGCCACAUCCGCUCAACCAUUGCUGAUACCAGGUGUUCCAACCCCCUUCUUUUUGCUUCCUGCUGUGCAAAAUCGGCCAACCCUAACUUUGUUGUGUAAUUAAUCUUACCUUUGUUGUGUUGUUGGAGAUGAUCGUGAGUCCAACAUAUUAGUUAGCUCAAUGUGUUGUCUGCAUCUGAGAAACAGAGAGAAGCAAUUUACAACGCAUUUGCACAAUCAACGAUUAAUUUCCUUUUUCACUGCACAAUGUGUUGUGACAAUUGUCUCUGUUAUUUGGAGAUACACAUUUCUUGAAAUAGCCAAACAGUGACUAGAGCCUUUCUUACUUAUGGAGAGAGAGGUCAUGCUUAGGGGGGAAGAGCUCAUGAUGCUUAGGAAGUUUGUUCAGUUGCAUUUGUGAAGUAUUUGGCUUACAAUUCUCUUAAAAUAGAAUGAACACUUGUUGGUCAUUUAUUGCUUUUUGCUCUUACUUUCUUUUUUGCUAUUACCUGUCUAUGGUUGAUUGCUUUAUACUCCGACCAUCACCGGCCCACAUCACCGGCCAUCUCUCCCACGCGGAACUCGGGCAGUCGCUGCCAUUGCUGAGGGUGUCGCCGUGAGGGGAAGCUGCGCCAUCACAGAUUGCCAGUGGGGAACAAACAAGACCUAGGAGUGGCGACGACAUCGCGUAAGCCGAGCGGUAGCGGCAACACGCAUUGUUGACGAGCGUUGAAGGCCACGCAUAGGCACCGAGAGAGGACAGCUUGGCAAUCAGGCAUCGCCGCCCAUCACCUCUGGCUACCUGCCCAUUCUAGGUGCUGUUCAAUCGCCCUUCAGUUCAUGGUCCGGCAAUUGACUGAAUGACUGAAUUGGAUAUAGAUUUACUCAGCAAAACACACAGAGGCGAGGUCAACUGCAACUUGUAGCUGGUUCAGUUGGACUGCUUUACAGUUAGUUGUUGGUAGAAAUGCAGGCUGCUUAGGAUCUAAAUUUCUUUAAGAUGGAAUAUAUAGCAUCUUAUUUUCUGUGAAAUGUCAAAAGGAGAAAUGUAUAAUUUAUCAGUGCAUUUGGUUUGAGUAUAGCAUACGGGUUUGGAUACAAUUUUGUUAUAUUUUGUGAUGCUUUAUAUAGUAAAAUAACACUCAAAUUCUGAUUUCAUUACAGGUUAAAUCUUGUGAUCUCAGAUGAGAACUUCACCUGUAAUUUUUAGUAUCUUAAAGCAUGUUUCUUUUUUUUAUGUUUUCUUGCCAAUACUGUCUGUAUUCUAUCAUUUUGAAGGCAAUAAUUUAAAGAAAUCUUAACUAUGUCCAGUUUUGGCUCAUGUUUUUACUAACACGUGUUCCCAAAUGAUUUUUUUCUUUGCUAGCAUGUGGGUGUUUAUAGUUUAAUUAUUUUUAUACUGUAGAAAAUACAAGAAGUGAGACAUUUGUGUCAUCAUCUCCUGUCUACUCUGUGGCAUAGUCACCCAGAAGCUGUAGGAAACCUUUAACACCUCGCCAAACACAGUAAGAAGGAGCGGUUUGCAGCUCCAUAUGUUUUAUUUGUUAAUAUUUGUGGUCAUGUACCUACUACUGUGGCUGUACAUUGGUUGAUUCCAUUCAUCAUCACAAAAAUAGUUUUCCUCCAAGCAACAUUGAUUGGCACACAAAGAAGCAAAAGCAUGGAUGCAAAGGACAUUACUCUGUCAAGCAGGUGAAGAGAUGAUGUACCAUGUAUGAUUAGUGGAUGGGUAGAUAAAAGAAAUUGGUAUAACUAUGUAAUGGCUGAUAUUUCGAUGAUGUGGCUUGAUGCGAGAGUAUAUUAGGUGAUAUAGAUUAUCAUUAUGAGCUACACUCUUAACAUUGUUUUUUUUGUAAUGAUACAGCAUACGUCAAACUUGAGUUAUAAUGUUAAUUUCAUGAACAUUGCUUUUUA